AACAUAUCAUCAAUACCCGAGGAUAUGCUAUCACCUAUGUAGUGCUGCUAUCACUGAAUUUAUCAUUAGAUUCAUCAUCACUGGAUAUAAUUUGCAAUACCAAACAAGAUAAUCAUAUCACCCAACUCAUAUCAUAGGGAUGAUAUGAAAUAUCAUCUCUUAUCAGACAAUACCUUAAAAAUUUCUGCUUCCAAAAUCUUUGUAUUCUUAUUCUUGUCCCCGU
rnacentral:lncRNA from 1 species